GUGUUAGUAGGUAAAAUAAGAGAAGGGGUGAGGGGGCGGCACCACCUUUCCUUCCCUCCCGAUUGCCCUAGGUAAAAAAUGUAUAUAGUUCUUUUCUUUUGCAUCAAUUCAGCGGCGACGAAACCGCAAUAGAUCUCCGUUUCUCGCCAAACAAACACAAAAUAGCUGCCUUCAGCGGCGACGAAACCGCACCUUUCUUUGGCUUCCUCGGAGCCACCGCUACCCUCGUUUUUUCCUGUAACUAACUCAUCAAGGAGGAUCCAUCUCUGAAACAUAUUUUGGAGGAGAUAGAGACUGGUGGUCCUGCUGCUAUGAUGAGGUACUGGAAUGAUGAGGAGGUUUUGCGGAAGUUGGGACAAACCAUGGGAGUUUCCUUAAUAAACGUGUAAAGGGAUUAGGUAGCUUUUAGCCCUUAAUAUUAUUUCUUUAUUGUUGUUAUUUUAUUUCCACAUCUUCUGUAAGGAGGAUCACUUAUCUUCUGAAUUAUUUCUACUUUUUAAUUUCUUUUAUUAAUUUUAAAAAAUCCAUCUUAGAAGGUGGCUUAAAUUUUUUUUAAAUUUAUUGAAAUUAGACAUUUAUUAUUUCUA